rnacentral:piRNA from 1 species
UCACAAAAGAAUAUAUAAGGGCAAUAAAGGG